UGCCAAAAGACUGGAUAUAGUCGUCUGUGUUAGACAGUAGGACCCCAUUACCUAUCCAUUCUACAUGUAGUAUUUUGCAUCUACCAAUAGCUUGCUUGAUCUUAUGCAGUCAUCGGAUGUCUUGGGUUGAAUCGUAACCCCCCCUCCCCAAUCCAACUGAACCCCCAGUUGGAGGUUGCCUCACAAUGUAACCAUAUUUGGAAAUGUGCUCUUUGAAGAGGCAAUUAAAUUUAAAAGGGAUAAUUCGGGCGGCUCCUAAUCAUGUGACUAGUGUCCUUAUAAGAAGAAAAAGACAUCAGAUAUGUGCUCACACAGAGGAAAGGCCACGUGAGGACACAGCGAGAAGGCACUGCAAGUCAAGGACAGAGGAGAAGCCAGGAGAAGCCAGACCUACCCACACCUUUGAUCUUGGGCUUCUGGCUUCAGGAAUUUUGAGAAAAUUAAUUUCUAUUGUUUGAACCACCUGGUCUGUGAUAUUUUGUUACAGCAGCCUGAGCAGUCUAAUAUAUCCAGUGGUAGAGUCUGGGUUUAAGUUCUGACCUUUCACUUAGUAGUUUGCAACUUUUUAGUCUAAUUACUUAAACCUUUCUGUGCCUCAGGCUUCUCAACUAUAAAGUGGCAAUAAUUGAACAUGGCCAUUGGGUUGUGAGGAUUAAAUUAAUUGACAAAUGCAAAAGUUAGAAGAGGGACCACACAGUGAGUUCUCAGUGACUGUUAAAAUGUGCAUAUAAAAAUGUAUGUUUAGGAGUUCCCAUUGUGGCUCAGCAUUAACAAACCUGACUAAUAUUUAUGAGGAUGCAUGUUUGAUCCCUGGCCUCACUCGGUGGGUUAAGGAUCUGGCAUUGAUGUGAGCUGUGAUAUAGGUCACAGACGCAGCUCGGAUCUGGCGUGGCUGUGGUGUAGGCUUGCAGCUGCAGCUCUGACUUGACCCCCUAGUGUGGGAACUUCCAUAUACUGUACCUACAGGGCGCUCCCCCCCCAAAAAAGGAUGUUUAUGUGCCUUUUGCUCUGGGACUUUGAAGAAUUCUGUAGUCCAGCCUUGAGGCUUCUGAUUCUUUGGGUCUGGUCUGGUCUGCAUGAAAAGCUCUUUGGGAGAUUCCGAUAGUCAUUUUGAGAAUCACCAGCACAACGAGGAAUUGUAAAGUUCUUCCUACUCAUACACUUCUCCUAUACCCUUGCAGUGCCCCAAUCCCCUCCUCCCAGAGAAAUUCACUGCUUUAUUAAAUCGAUACUGCUACGUACCUGGUAAGCACAUGACCCUUCGGUGCAUCAUCAGACCACUUAAUAGCUUUCCUGCUGUACCCCUGGAAUUUCCCAUUUGUCCAAUACUGACCCCAGCUGUUAAGAAGUGAGUUUUCUGUCUCAUGUCUAAAGAGAUCCUGAUAAAAAGUCUACAUGCUUCUCAGGAAAAACAUUUUUAGGCAGUGCAGGAAAAUAUAAAAAGGAAAACGAGUCAAUAAAAUUCUCACACCCAGGGACAAGCACUGUUAAACUUUCGGUGCCUGUUCUCCCUUUAACCUGCAUAUGAUGACAGUAUUUCUAGUGAUACUUUUUUUACAUUUUUGGUACACUUAUUCCUAAAUAAUAUGCAACUAUUGUUCACAGUCUAAAAAAACACCUUAGUUGUCAUUUCAUGUAGUUUAAUUGAUCAUUGUUCUGUACAAAUAUUAUAUAUUGAUCCUUUUUCUUUUAAUGAUGUUUAAAUUAGGUGCAGGUUAUAAAUCUUGUAUAUCUGGGAGGUCCCAUUGUGGCGAAGUGGAAACGAAUCCCACUAGUAUCCAUGAGGAUGCGAGUUUGAUACCUGGCCUCACUCAGUGGGUUGGGGAUCUGGCGUUGGUGUGUGCUGUGGUGUAGGCCAGCAGCUAUAGCUCUGAUUUUGUUGUAUAUCUUUCUACAUGUAUUUCUAUACAUUUAUACAUAUAUGUGUAAAAAAUAGAGUGUGGCAGGUUAUUUUUGUUUGGUUUUGAUUUUUUGUUUGGUUUGGUUAUAACAUGUGGUCAUACCAUCUUUAUCAUUUCUCAUUUACCUCCUGAACAUAUUUCUGUCCAGGAUUGUAUACCCAGAGCAUUAUUCUUAAAGGCCCUUUGGUGGAAGCUGUGAGGGCCUUCAGUGCCAGGCUGACGGGGAGAAUGGAGGUGGUUGAAGAGGGCAGUCUCAUGCUUUUGGAAGGCAAACUCUCCUUUAAGCUCUAGAAGCUGCAAUGGGGAGACAGAGGGAGCAGAAUGCCUUAAAAUCUCCUUUAUGCAAGGAGAAAGUUGAGUAGUGGGAAGAAAGCCCUUGCCCACAUUUCGUUAAAUGUGACUUGGAAUGCCAGUGGCAAUACAUUGUGGGGGCUGGGGCCGUGUGUUUAGGAAUGAAGGUUCCCUUCACUCCUUCCACCAAGUUUAGGGAAGAGGAAUUGGUGAUGGUGAGACUACAGAUCACUGUUUCGCCUGUUUUUCUUCCACAGCCGUAGCAUGUGGAAGUUCCCGGGGCAAGGAUUGAACCUGCGCCACAGUUUCAGCCUGUGUCACAGCUGCGGCCACAUAGGAUCCAUAACCCACUGUGCACGGGGAAACUUCUCUCACUUGUUUUUCUUAACCCAGUCCUUGCCGUAAGGUUUUUGAUGGGAGGAAUUCUAGAGAAAGACAGCAAUGAGGAAGCUUUGAGCAGUGAGAGGCUUCAGGAAACUGUAAUGGGGAGUGAUCAGGAGAUGGACACGGGAGGCAGCUGGCCCCUGAGGAGGAGAGGAGGUCAUCAGAGUAUGAAAGCUGAGCCUGCAGGAUUUUGCUUACUUGACUCUGUGCCCACUGCCUCUGAGGCACCUCUGCAGUGGGGACUGUCUAGGAAUUCUGUCCUUGAUCUGGGCCACUUUGAAUGAAGCUGGUAUACCAAGAAAGAAUAUUCACAAAAAUGUGUCAACGACUUGCAUUCUGUGCCCUGAGACUCCAUGAAGAUUGAGUAACUGCCAAGCAUUCUCUGAACACCUCACCCCCAAAUUCUCAGUUAUGAGUCAGGACACAUGUUUAACAACACUCAGGGAGUUCCCGUCGUGGCGCAGUGGUUAACGAAUCCGACUAGGAACCAUGAGGUGGCGGGUUCGGUCCCUGCCCUUGCUCAGUGGGUUAACGAUCCGGCAUUGCUGUGAGCUGUGGUGUAGGUUGCAGACGUGGCUCGGAUCCCGCGUUGCUGUGGCUCUGGUGUAGGCUGGCAGCUACAGCUCUGAUUCGACCCCUAGCCUGGGAACCUCCAUAUGCCGCGGAAGCGGCCCUAGAAAUGGC
rnacentral:lncRNA from 1 species